CGCCAACCCCGGGACCCUGGGCGGCCUGCUGGCUGCAGCCUUGGCCGAGGCUGUCCCUAACAAAUGCCCUGCAGGGAGGGCGGUCCGGAGGAUCUUUGGGGCAGCUGUUGUGCAUUUCUUGCUUUGCCUGAGAAUUUUCUUUAGGUUGGGGAGGAACGCUCCCAAAGCGCAGCGUCAACAGGCCUGGUUUAGGGAGGUGCUAUGCUUUUGCCCUUGUGGGAAGGCGCCCACCGCUGGGACGGGGCGAACACUGUGGAGUGGGGUUCGGUCUUGGUGAUCAUAGGUUACUUUUCUAUUUUAAUGUCAAUGGGCAGUGGAAUCCUUGUGAGAGCCUGGGUGAUGAAGUUUCCAGCACUUGCACACAACUGCUACCUAAUUAUUUGCAGCAAAGAAUGCCUGCUGGCUUCAAAGCAUGUUUCACUCUUGGAUGUACUCCAUGGGAUACACAGCAAAAGUAGUGAAGCCUUCCCUCCUCCCAUGAAAACUAGUGAAUCUGACAAUGAUACAUGCUGAUCAAUGAGCAGCCUGUUAAGAAAAAAAUGUAUAGAAAGUCAUUUCUUUGAUUUGCUGUUUUGAAAAGGACAUGUUUUCCUUUGGAGUGAUUUUCACUUCUAAAUCUAAUCUAUUAUUUUGUAGGAGAAACAAUUUGUGUUAACUGGAAC
rnacentral:lncRNA from 1 species